AAAGAAUCUUAUUCCCUAGGGCAGGAUUGCUAAACAAAGCCCUGCGGGGGGAGUUACAAGCCAUGCCCUCAGGAUGUAAUACAAGAUGGAGGCUUGAUUUCACAACCAAAACUUUCCAGAGAAUAUAGUGAUAGAUGUUGGAGGUCCCUAGUCUAGCACAACAUCUUCUAAAAGAAAAUGAAACUUUUAAAAGUUAACUACCGACAGGGUAGAGAGAAAAGAAAAGAAACAGUUUAAAAAUACCUGAGGAAGAGCCUCUCAUUCCUAUGCAACUGAUUCGUCCACCAUGGAGAUUAGUUCAAUUAUUGUCCAAUGGAGUAGAACCCCUUGGCUGGGGUAGGGGAAGGAGAAGACCGCAAGCUGGCUCUGCGAAGACCCUUGAGCCACGCGUCCCAGCCCCAGCAUGAAGCAGUGAUGGAAGGAAAAUGUCUGGGAAGCCCCGGUGGAAUGCAACAGGUAAACAGGGAGGGCUUUCUAUGAAAUGUGAUUUAGGGGUUUUAUCAUUAUAUAAUUUGAAAGGGUAAUUAGUAACCUGGGUAAUGAAGAGAUGAUUUAGUUUAACGUUAUAGUCUCCUACAGAGGCAGAUGGGUCCUACUCAAAGGGCUGCUUGGAUGUCUAGACUGAUAAUGCCAUAUACACACUAAAAAUUGCAGAGAAGCCAGCAACAAUUUUAGUGUAGUUUGUAAAUGAACCAAUCAACAACAAAUUCACGAACAAAGCCACUCUUCUGCUUAGAUAAGGCCUGGAUUCUACCAUCAGUGUUAUUUUUAGGUUCAGUGCUUUGAUAGCUGUUUUUAAAAUGUGAGUAGUCCUGUUAAAUUAGUAUAAGUUAUCUUAACUUUGAAAAAAAAAUCAGAGAAAGGGUGAGGAGCCAUAUCAGUUUAGAGCAUGAGAAAACAAUUCAGAAGCUCAAGGAAACCAAAACAAUUUGGCUAGCUAAAAAACAUAUAAUAUCAGCUAGUCAAGCAGACUUGGAUGAAUCAGUGAUCUUAGUAUUAAAUCUUUAUUAAAUAUUUUCAAAUAUGAAGAAGAUCAACAAUGAGCUCAGCUGAAGUAGACGAAGGUCAGGAACAUCAAGAAUAGUUCUUCAGGUUUUCUCUUUCUGCCUUGAACAUUCCUCUCUGGCACAGGAUAGAUGAGAUCUCUAAGCGGAGUCUUGAGGUCCCUCACAUAGCAGGGAGCAUUUCUAUUACCGAACAUCUCUGGUUUAUAUCCCAUUCUGUUGAAAAGCUUAUGUGACAUUCUCCAGAAAACCAGCUUCAUAGACUCUGGGUUCUCUUUACGAUAAUUCAUCUAUACAGAGAAAUCUUGCCAAGGACAUUUUAUAGACAAGUUCUCUUUCUCCAAGGAAAUAUCAUUUGUCUAUUUACCAGGAGGGCCUGUUUACAAGGAGACUAAAAUUGCCUUCUUUUCUCCUUUUAUUUUCUCUGUGGCAUCCUCCUGGUGAAGGGAGUGGUAAGUUAAUGGAUCAUUGAACAGGUGAUUUAACUUCUUUCCCUUACUAAUGCAUCACAAUUUUGCCUUCUUUUGGUCUCUGUGCUUGAAGUUGCAAAGACAAAGAAAAAAGCGAGACCUAUGUCAAGUUCGGAGACAAAAAGGAGCCAUAAAAAUGGAAGUAAAGAAAUUUUAUUUGCUGUGUCUAGAAACUCUAAGUAUUCUGUCCUGUUUACCUUUAUUCUCCCUUCCUCUGCUUUCAUGUCCUCAAUUCUAUCUACAACAUCUAAAGAGAAAGGUUAAUAACUUGCUUAAGAUAACCCGGUUAUUUAUGUUAUUUAAUAGCUGGACAAGGAUAAAAUCCAAGGUCCUCUAAAUUGGAAACAAUUGAUUUUUUUCAGUCUUUCUCCUUCAUUGCACUACCUUUAUAUGUUAUUGAUCUCUUGCAAAACAAUUUAUUACAUGACUUAGUCAAAUAAAUUAAUCCAGUUCCUAACACACCCAUUACCAUAUUGGAUACUAAGGACACAAUGUUGAAUAAACUACAUCCUCUGAUGCAAAUGGCUGUCAUUUAGUCAGAUUAAAAGAUUAAAAAAAUACAGUUGUAAACAAAUAAUAUUAUGGGGGCACAGAGAAGGCAAUUGUACUCUAAAACUGGGGUUUAAAGUAGGAUUCUUAAGAAGUGAAGGUAGUCAGGCAAACUAUGGAAAGAAUAUUCUGUGCCGAUGAAUCAGCAAAUAUAUAGGCUUAGAUGUGAGAAGAAAUGUCAGUGUAUUAACAUUUGCUCAAUAUAGAUUGAACAAACAAUGCAAAAAAGAAGAAAAUGUGAAGUGUUGCUAGACACUAAGUGAUGAGUUAAACACUAAAGAGCCUUGAAUAAAAUGGCAAGAAGUUGGAAAUUUAUUCUGCUGUCAACUAGUAGUCUUUGAGGUAUUGUAAACAUCACAGUUUCAUGACCAAAUUUAUUUUCUAGAGCAUAAAGCAAGUAUCUGUCAUUAGAUACAUAAAUGAGCCACUGGGUUAAAUAUAAUUAAAUGAAAUUUUAAAAUUCAUAACAUGGUGAUGUUAUUACUGUGCUGUCAUUCAUUACCAAUGCCACAGACUGCGAUUUAGUAUUCAAUAUUUUCCAAACUCGUUUCACCAUAGACUUCCCCA
rnacentral:lncRNA from 1 species